AUGCUCAAAUUAAAUUGUAUAAAUGCUCAGGGGAGGACAUUUAUGUUUGAGAGAGAGGGAUGGAAAAGUGGGGAUGGAGUAAGAGAAGAGGCCUCGGCUUAUCCUGCAGUUCGAGCCCCGUCUUCUAUGCUUCUGCUCACAGUCCCAACAUCCUCAUGGCAGGUCCAAAUCGCUGAGGUUUAUGACCUUGAUUUUGCCAUAGAGGUAGUAGAAGCAGAUAUAGUGCAAGAAGCCGAUGCACUCAUAAUGUACACCCAUCACCUGAGGAAAGAGAGAAGGUUUGUCUUCUGCACAAACUAA
rnacentral:rRNA from 1 species